rnacentral:rRNA from 1 species
GCUGACGAGUGGCGGACGGGUGAGUAAUGUCUGGGAAACUGCCUGAUGGAGGGGGAUAACUACUGGAAACGGUAGCUAAUACCGCAUAACGUCGCAAGACCAAAGAGGGGGACCUUCGGGCCUCUUGCCAUCGGAUGUGCCCAGAUGGGAUUAGCUAGUAGGUGGGGUAACGGCUCACCUAGGCGACGAUCCCUAGCUGGUCUGAGAGGAUGACCAGCCACACUGGAACUGAGACACGGUCCAGACUCCUACGGGAGGCAGCAGUGGGGAAUAUUGCACAAUGGGCGCAAGCCUGAUGCAGCCAUGCCGCGUGUAUGAAGAAGGCCUUCGGGUUGUAAAGUACUUUCAGCGGGGAGGAAGGCGAUAAGGUUAAUAACCUUGUCGAUUGACGUUACCCGCAGAAGAAGCACCGGCUAACUCCGUGCCAGCAGCCGYGUGWUAAUAACGAGAGGGUUGCCAAGCGUUAAUYSGAAUUACUGGGCGUAAAGCGCACGCAGGCSGUUCUGUCAAGUCGGAUGUGAAAUCCCCGGGCUCAACCUGGGAACUGCAUUCGAAACUGGCAGGCUAGAGUCUUGUAGAGGGGGGUAGAAUYCCAGGUGUAGCGGUGAAAUGCGUAGAGAUCUGGAGGAAUACCGGUGGCGAAGGCGGCCCCCUGGACAAAGACUGACGCUCAGGUGCGAAAGCGUGGGGGAGCAAACAGGAUUAGAUACCCUGGUAGUCCACGCCGUAAACGAUGUCGACUUGGAGUUGUGCCCUWUGAGGCGUGGGCUUCCGAGAGCUAACGCGUUAAGUCGACGCCUGGGGAGUACGGCCGCAAGGUUAAAACUCAAAUGAAUUGACGGGGGCCCGCACAAGCGGUGGAGCAUGUGGUUUAAUUCGAUGCAACGCGAAGAACCUUACCUACUCUUGACAUCCAGAGAACUUWGCAGAGAUGSUUUGGUGCCUUCGGGAACUCUGAGACAGGUGCUGCAUGGCUGUCGUCAGCUCGUGUUGUGAAAUGUUGGGUUAAGUCCCGCAACGAGCGCAACCCUUAUCCUUUGUUGCCAGCGGUUAGGCCGGGAACUCAAAGGAGACUGCCAGUGAUAAACUGGAGGAAGGUGGGGAUGACGUCAAGUCAUCAUGGCCCUUACGAGUAGGGCUACACACGUGCUACAAUGGCGCAUACAAAGAGAAGCGACCUCGCGAGAGCAAGCGGACCUCAUAAAGUGCGUCGUAGUCCGGAUUGGAGUCUGCAACUCGACUCCAUGAAGUCGGAAUCGCUAGUAAUCGUGGAUCAGAAUGCCACGGUGAAUACGUUCCCGGGCCUUGUACACACCGCCCGUCACACCAUGGGAGUGGGUUGCAAAAGAAGUAGGUAGCUUAACMUUYGGGAGSRCGUUACCAUUKUKKUUU